rnacentral:rRNA from 1 species
GACGAACGCUGGCGGCGUGCUUAACACAAGCAAGUCGAACGGAAAGGCCCUGCUUUUGUGGGGUGCUCGAGUGGCGAACGGGUGAGUAACACGUGAGUAACCUGCCCUUGACUUUGGGAUAACUUCAGGAAACUGGGGCUAAUACCGGAUAGGAGCUCCUGCUGCAUGGUGGGGGUUGGAAAGUUUCGGCGGUUGGGGAUGGACUCGCGGCUUAUCAGCUUGUUGGUGGGGUAGUGGCUUACCAAGGCUUUGACGGGUAGCCGGCCUGAGAGGGUGACCGGCCACAUUGGGACUGAGAUACGGCCCAGACUCCUACGGGAGGCAGCAGUGGGGAAUAUUGCACAAUGGGCGGAAGCCUGAUGCGGCAACGCCGCGUGCGGGAUGACGGCCUUCGGGUUGUAAACCGCUUUCGCCUGUGACGAAGCGUGAGUGACGGUAAUGGGUAAAGAAGCACCGGCUAACUACGUG